UUGCUAGGGGAGCUGAAAAGCUGAGAAGGUAUAACCUGACCCUUAGAACCUGAUCUGGAUAGUACCAGCGUAGGGAAGCAAGAUU
rnacentral:ncRNA from 1 species